AGAGUUUGAUCCUGGCUCAGAGCGAACGCUGGCGGCAGGCCUAACACAUGCAAGUCGAGCGCCCCGCAAGGGGAGCGGCAGACGGGAGAGUAACACGUGGGAACGUGCCCUUCAGUUCGGAACAACCAAGGGAAACUUGAGCUAAUACCGGAUACGUCCGAAAGGAGAAAGAUUUAUCGCCGAGGGAUCGGCCCGCGUCC
rnacentral:rRNA from 1 species